rnacentral:rRNA from 1 species
UACGUAGGGGGCAAGCGUUGUCCGGAAUCAUUGGGCGUAAAGCGCGUGUAGGCGGCUCGAUAAGUCUGCUGUGAAAGUCCAGGGCUCAACCCUGGGAUGCCGGUGGAUACUGUCGAGCUCGAGUCCGGAAGAGGAGUGUGGAAUUCCUGGUGUAGCGGUGAAAUGCGCAGAUAUCAGGAGGAACACCAAUGGCGAAGGCAGCACUCUGGGACGUGACUGACGCUGAGACGCGAAAGCGUGGGGAGCGAACAGG